GUGGGGAAUAUUGGGCAAUGGGGGCAACCCUGAUCUAGCCAUGCCGCGUGAGCGAUGAAGGCCUUAGGGUUGUAAAGCUCUUUCAGCUGGGAAGAUAAUGACGGUACCAGCAGAAGAAGCCCCGGCUAACUCCGUGCCAGCAGCCGCGGUAAUACGGAGGGGGCUAGCGUUGUUCGGAAUUACUGGGCGUAAAGCGCGCGUAGGCGGACCAGAAAGUUGGAGGUGAAAUCCCAGGGCUCAACCUUGGAACUGCCUUCAAAACUCCUGGUCUGGAGUUCGAGAGAGGUGAGUGGAAUUCCGAGUGUAGAGGUGAAAUUCGUAGAUAUUCGGAGGAACACCAGUGGCGAAGGCGGCUCACUGGCUCGAUACUGACGCUGAGGUGCGAAAGCGUGGGGAGCAAACAGGAUUAGAAACCCUGGUAGUCC
rnacentral:rRNA from 1 species